rnacentral:misc_RNA from 1 species
AGGAUCAUUACUGAUGAUGAGAGGAAACGAAAGCUGGCAUUUGUCUCCGAACGGGCACCGGGUACACCGGUUUUAAAAGUCUUGCGCCCGAUUCGAGCGGAACGAUUGAAGGGAAAAAAUUCCCGGUCGGUCUCUCCUCCGGAGAAACGAUUUUUACGAACCAAAAGAAAUGAAAAAAAAAAAGAAAUCCUAAACGGUGGAUCACUCGGCUCGUGGAUCGAUGAAGGACGCAGCAAACUGCGCGUCGAAUUGUGAACUGCAGGACACAUGAACAUCGACGCUUCGAACGCACAUUGCAGCCCACGGAUUCUGUUCCCGGGCUACGCCUGGCUGAGGGCCGGCAAGCAAGUUCACCGAAACCAUUUUUAUAAUUGGUGCCGGUAUACUGGGGCGAGGGACUCCCGCCAGACGGGAAGUCGCCGCCCUGAUGAUCGAAGGCGCCCGGGGAGGACGGUUGGGACCCGUGCCGUCGUCUUCGUCGACGCGACGCUUUCGAGUUCUCUCGAGACGGCGUCCCGCGAUCGACGGACGGUUCGACGUCCAUCGUCGCCCUCCUGGAAUGCCUUUUCACUGACGCCGACCUCAGAGCAGGUGAGACCACCCGCUGAAUUUAAGCA